rnacentral:misc_RNA from 1 species
UCGCUCCAUGGUUUUACAGAUGCAACUUGUCAAAACGGGUAUAAUUAUAUUAUUUCCACCCGCAAACCAAAGCCACUAGUUCGUUAGAGUCAAUAUACAUAACAAUCAUUUUAUAAUUGUAUUCUGACGAUAGUUUGUAAACGUGACAUGAGCAAAGUUACGUAUAUACCACAUAAUUUAAAUUAUUAUAAUCAAUAACACGUGUUAUUGCGUAUGCUACAUACAUUGUUUUUUAGACACGUUUUUCUUAUGGAUCAAUUGAAAAUAUUUCGUUGAAGUAAUAUCGCAAUCUGUUACCUAUAGAAAUAUGCAUUAAUACACGUUUUUCAAUAAUACGGUUAUAAUAUCGACUGUUCCCCUUGUUGGUAAUUAAUUCUUCCUCUUUAAAAAGCGUGUUCUUAGAACAUCACCGCACUCCCUCGGAAUCAACAGACGUUGCAGUACGUAGUGUUCAACAGUCGUAAGCUGCAGGCUGUGAUUUUCAGGGCCAGAAUUAUGACGACGGCCAAGUGUUUACCAUAGCAUUAAGCGGCCCGUGCAUCAAAUACACCUGCAAUGCUGGUAGCGUCGGACCCACGACGAUUGAGUGUAAGGCUGACGAUGGGACGUGUGUUCCAUUUGGCACCAAGAAGACAAGCAUGUGUCGAGUUAGCGAGUGUGGACAAAACGCCAAAGGAUAUAUUGGCUUCUUCCCAAUUGCAGGCUCAAAUUAUGAAUGUCAAGACAAGGAUGGCAAAUGUGGCUACCAUAAUGGGGACAAGGUGACGCAUGUCAUCAACUCGAAAGCCUACAGCUGCACAUGCACGAUAAAAGGCAACACUGUAGGUUACAGUGCAUGCUCUUGGUUGCCAUGAAGAAUUACAAGCCACAUGUCAUGACACGGCAAAACAAGACAUGUUGAACGGUUCUAUAUGACAUUCAAAUAAAACAUAAACGAAAGCAACCCACAA